AGUAGCCAAGGGGGAGGGCGCUCUCCUAGAGGAAGUUAAGUGAAGAGGCUUGGCUGCCCAUUUGGCUUCUGUUAGAACUUGAGAGAGGUGCCGGACUAACACUUCUGGGUGAACAGAGUUCUUCCCGUGGGCUUCUGAAAAUCAGUCUUCCACUUCAUUCAGAUGUCCAAAUGCACAGCAACACGCUCAAGAAAGCUACGUUUCCUUCUGUCAGUGACUUAGGCCCCUGUCCUGAACAUCCCUCAGUGCAGGAAGUAUCCUGUGCCCACAUGGAGACUACUCGCCUCUGUGUAGCUGCAGCAGUUUCCACCUCCAAAUCUGCAAAUUCUACAGAUAUUUAACAGCAGUUUCCCCAUCAGAUUGAGACAAUUACUGAAGUAAUC